UACGUAGGGGGCAAGCGUUGUCCGGAAUCAUUGGGCGUAAAGAGCGUGUAGGCGGCCCGGUAAGUCCGCUGUGAAAGUCCAGGGCUCAACCCUGGGAUGCCGGUGGAUACUGUCGGGCUCGAGUCCGGAAGAGGAGUGUGGAAUUCCUGGUGUAGCGGUGAAAUGCGCAGAUAUCAGGAGGAACACCGAUGGCGAAGGCAGAUCUCUGGGCCGUAACUGACGCUGAGGAGCGAAAGCGUGGGGAGCGAACAGGA
rnacentral:rRNA from 1 species